rnacentral:rRNA from 1 species
GACGAACGCUGGCGGCGUGCUUAAUACAUGCAAGUCGAACGGAAAGGUCCUGCUUUUGUGGGGUGCUCGAGUGGCGAACGGGUGAGUAACACGUGAGUAACCUGCCCUUGACUUUGGGAUAACUUCAGGAAACUGGGGCUAAUACCGGAUAGGAGCUCCUGAUGCAUGGUGGGGGUUGGAAAGUUUCGGCGGUUGGGGAUGGACUCGCGGCUUAUCAGCUUGUUGGUGGGGUAGUGGCUUACCAAGGCUUUGACGGGUAGCCGGCCUGAGAGGGUGACCGGCCACAUUGUGACUGGGAUACGGCCCAGACUCCUACGGGAGGCAGGAGUGGAGAAUAUUGCACAAUGGGCGGAAGCCUGAUGCAGCAACGCCGCGUGCGGGAUGACGGCCUUCGGGGUGUAAACCGCUUUCGCCUGUGACGAAGCGUGAGUGACGGUAAUGGGUAAAGAAGCACCGGCUAACUACGU